GUCACUGCCCGUUAGGGGACGGUGGGAGCCCGGGAUGAUGGGUUACAGGCGAGAACCUUGAUCCUGGAAACGCGCGUGGGCUUUAAAAGCUGGACACGAUUCAACCCCCGUGCCCAGGCCGGGGAGACAAGGGCCGCGGGUCGGCCGCGAUAGUGAGCGGAGGAAGCACGGGCACUGCAUGAGCGCCAGGUAGUUGCGUGCAGUUCGCAGCCACAGUUCAGGGAGCUGCUAGCAGGUAGGGAAAGGAUUUCCAGGUAAGGGCGCGGGAUUUCAAGCCGGGCUGUAAAAUGAACCGAGAUGCCAAUCUGGGUAUCUCACGGGGAGAUGGAAAUUUCGUCACAGCGCUAAAAUCUCGCACCCCCGGCCAGUGGGGCACUUAGACGACGAGGAUGGGAUUCGAACCCACGCGUGCAGAGCACAAUGGAUUAGCAGUCCAUCGCCUUAACCACUCGGCCACCUCGUCACCUGUAUUGCUCCCUUCCGAUAAGAGUUAUGUUGUUUUACUCAAUAGUGCUGUAUUAUAUAAUAUUUGUUCUGUGUGUUUUCCUGAAUGGAGCCAACGUUCUUGCUCUCUCUCUGUCCCUUGCUUGCUUGCUUUGAACAAAGAAGAAGAAAAAGAGACUGCAUCACAGGAAAGAGGACCCGAGUGAAAAGGACAAAAUACAUUUCCCAACGGAAAUGGGAAGAUGAAACGACAGCUUUUGCUUUCAAAAUCAACUUGGAUUUUAUUAUCUCUUUUAAAGCCUGCAUAUUCAAACCGGAUUGAACGAGUUAGGUUCUAUUUAUUUUUGAUGGACGUUCCCUCACUGAGCUCUCCGAAGGAUCACUGCUCUCUGAAUGCCUUCUAGGAAUAAUCAGCCAUCUCUCCAGGGAGUGCUCCUGGGUGAGUGGUGAAGGUGGGAGGGAGACGGAUAUAAUAUUUGUCCUCCCAAAAGGCUACCAAUGCUUGACCCCGACGUGACUUGAACACGCAACCUUCUGAUCUGGAGUCAGACGCGCUACCGUUGCGCCACGAGGUCACAAGAUAUACCUCAUGUUCCUGGUCUCUUCUAUUGCUCUGACUUGAAUAGAUGGAUGCUGUGGAUUCAUUUUGGACGGGACUCCUGUACGCCAAAGAAAAGUCUGUUUAACCCACCAUCUCUCCCCUGCAACAUGGCAAGAGGGCAGUGUGGCGCUUCUACACGGUGGCCUUCUGCCUGACUCACAGACCAACAAUGCUUUUUUUUUUUCUUUUUUCUUUUUGGGUCACACCCACUGAUGCUCAGGGGUUCCUCCUGGCUCUGCCUGCACUCAGGAAUUACUCCUGGCGGUGCUUGGAAACCAUAUGGGAAGGCGGGGAUCGAACCCUGGUUGGUCAACGCCCUCCCCGCGGUACUAUCACUCUGGCCCAAUAAAGCAUU